AUGACACUUUACCCGAAUCGGAUCAUUGUUGUUUACAUCACACGAAGAGAGAGUGACAGCUUGUUCUCGGGAGACAGAUCAGUGUCUGUAGAGAGAAAACAUUUGACCAGGUGGAGUCAGGCUUCUUCUUCGUCUUUGGACCUCUACACCAACAAGGCAGAAGACGCCAAUUUUGGAUCAAUUAUGCUGAUGCCCCACUGUAAGAACCUGGAGAUCUUCACUGUUUCUGGGGGAGGUGACGUGGCCACAAACAAUCCGUGGGACACCUUCCAACGCUACCUCUGUCUGGACAACAGCCAGAGGGUGAUCAAGACAUCUUCAACCCCAUUGGAGGAGACGACCCAAGGUUCCUUGCCUCAGACUUCCUCCAAUGGGUUUUGAGAAGGAUGUGAGUAGUGAGGAGUUGAGCAGAGAUUAAUUGGGACAGAGCUCAUGUCAUUGUUUUAGGUGAAAAUGUAUUCAUUUUGCAGCACAGGAGGUUGGUGGUGCUGUACCUUAAUUGAGGAGAACGGGCUGGUGGUAAUGAUGAGUGGAAUAGUAUCAAAUACAUUAAACAUGGUUUCCAGGUGUUUGAUGCCAUUCCAUUCGCUCCGUUCCAGCCAUUAUUAUGAGCUGUUCUCCCCUCAGCAGCCUUCUGUGGUCACACUUACAUAUUUUGUUCUACCUGUGCUCUUUCUACAGAUUUUAUUUUAUUUAACUAGGCAAGUCAGUUGAGAACAAAUUCUUAUUUACAAUGACUGUCUACACCGGCCAAACCCAGAUGACGCUGGGCCAAUUGUACGCCGCUCUAUGGGACUCCCAAUCACGGCCGGUUGUGAUACAGCCUGGAUUCGAACCAGGGUGUCUGUGGUGGCUCUUGCUUGCUGAUAUCAUCUGAUCUGAUGAGACUCCCUGAGAUUUGACUCCUGUAUUACUGACAGUUUUCAAUAAAUCUUCCAAUGACAAAUUGAAAUAAUUUGAGAUUCUGUAAUUGAAAGACAAUUGUAGUUCCCAAUCAGAUAAUUACUAUAAAACAAAUCUGUUUUCCUCAGUGCAGUUGUAAACAACCAUCAUCGAGUCCAUCCUCAGCUCCUCCAUCACUGCAACGGAUUGUCCGGUCUGCUGAGAGGGUCAUUGGCUGCCACCUGCCCUCCUUCGAGGUCCUGCACGACUCCAAGGCAAGGAAGUGUGCAGGAAAGAUCAUUGCCAACCCCUUCCGUCCCCUCUGGCAAACGGUUCAGGUCAAUCACGAACAAAACCUCACGCCACCUGAACAGUUUCUUCCCCUUGUGCCAUGGCCCUCAUCCAACCGGCAACCUGGUCUACGAUGAUCCUGUCAUCCAUGGACUUUGUACUCUGCGCUAUUCAUCCACUGACUAUUCACUGCACUAUCAUCCCAGAACUGCACAUUGCUCUUUGCACUCUCUUACAUGCAUCAUUUAUAAUGUAGCUUAUAGCGCACACAGUGUACAUACUGUAUGUGAAUAUGUGGAGAUUCUGCAUCUAUAUAUUUUUUGGUCUGUAAAUUUUGUUUAUCAUCUGUCUGUAUAUUGUUUAUUGUUGCAGCACCAUUUCAUUCCUGUACAUGCAAAUGUAUUUGGCGAAUAAAGCUGAUAUGUUAACCUGAGUUUAUCAUAGGUCAGUUAAUAUUCUAUUAUUUGAGACUGGUUAUGUACUGGAAGAACUGUAGCACAUUCUUCCCUUUGUGUCUUCAUGUAAUUCAAAAUUCCCCAUGUGUUGUCUGUGUCCUUGGGCUUAACCUAAGCAUUGGCUCCUGCCUGUAAUUAGUGGACUUGUUUAUGGUGUUUGCUAGAGCUGACUGUCUGCUUUUACAGACACACAUUUCUGGCUAACAAGUAAUAAUCUAUAACUGACUUUAGCAAGUAGAUUCCACUGAACUCAAGGUAUAGUAUACCUAUUAGAAUUGAUCUGGUUAUCAAGCUGCUGUGUUUCCCAAGUUGUUCGGCUCUUACUGCUCAAACCUGCUAGCUAGCUAAAAAGACAGCUCUUCUAUGGUAUAUUGGCGAUUGCCCAAUUGAAUGUGCAUCCCGCCACCUACUGUGUGGGACGGAAACAGGAUCCCCCCUCAAAAAACGGAACAAACUACCAAAAAAACGACCAUAUCUGAUCCCUACAGAGGCUCAAGGGGAGCCUAGGAGGGCAGGCCGUCUUCCGGCGCCAGUCUUCAGAUGUAAGUCCCAAAAACUUUUCUGCCGCAGCCACAAUAAUGUCCAGUUUCUUAGAUUUAUUUUAGACUUAUAGUUUAUAAAUGUGGCAAUGAAUGCCACAAAAUCCACCUUAACACACAGGGUAUCUUUCGACUGGCAGGAAACAUUUACAACACGCUGUGGUGCAUCCACUACCAUAUUGUCACUAGUUGAAAUGUACUUCUCCCAUGGGCAAAGAAACUCAAAAGGCGUGACGAUAUUAACUAACAGUCAUUUUGAUCUGAAUGUGCACAUUGUCCAAACAGAUCUGCAAGGUAGAUGAUUUAAAAUGUAUUAUUGGACCAUAAACAGAUAUGGGUCAUUAACCUGUAUGGUCCAAAUAAUGAUGAUCAUAGCUUCUUUGAAAAUAUAUAUAAUACAUUAUCAAUCCUGCAAGCAAUACAAUACUCUAUUAUUAUGGUGGGAGAUUAUAAUAUUGUAUUAAAUACCCCAAUGGACUGUAAAGGAAAUCACACUACAAACUAUCACCCUCAUGCUCUUAAGGAAAUCAUGAAUGUCAUGGAUAUAUUGGAACUAGUGUAUGUAUGGAGGCUUAAAUAACCUGACCUACUGAGAUAUACAUAGCGGACGAUCAAUCAAUCUCGUAGUCUUAACUUCUUUCUUAUAUCAUUCUUGUUGGCAAGAAGAAGAUUGCGGUCGGACCAUCAGAUAAUUGGCAUAUACAUUACUCUUACGGAAUUUCCACGUGGGCGAGGAUAUUGGAAAUGUAAUCAAAGUCUAUUGGAUGAUAACUUGUUUUUAACUAGGACAGAGGAAUUUAUAACAGAUUUUUUUCCGACAUAAUAUAUGUACAGCAAAUCUGCUAAUUGUAUGGGACACUUUUAAAUGUGCCUUUAGAGGCCAUGCAAUUCAGUAGACUACUCAUCUCUAAAACAAAAGCAAUUUAGGUCAAAGGAGUCAGUACUAACAAAGGAAAUAGAAGGUCUAGGGGGCGACUCUAACAGAACAGAUAGACAGCAAUAAAAACUGUACCAUAGAGGCUCAGAAUAAGUUGGAGGAAAAACAAAAAGAAAUAGGGGAACUUAUUCAACAAAGAUUAAGUGUAAUAUAUUAGAAUAAAGCAAACUGGAUGGAAUAUGGGGAAAAUGCACAAAAUUAUGUUUUAAUAUUCAACAUAGAAAUACUUCUAAAAAUAAUUUACUGAAACUUGUUACAAAUUACUGAGUAACCUAUGAUUCGCCAAAUUCUAUUUUUAAAGAGGCCGCAAACUACUUUAAGCAUAUGUUUUCGUUUCAGUCUUCUUCAUCUCCUCUAACCAAAGCUAAUUGUACGGAUUUGUUUUCUAUUAAUAAUGUAAAUUAACAGCCAUACAAAAUGACUCAUGCGAAGGUGAAAUUACAGAGGAAUUAAAGCCUUUAAGUCUGGGAAAACUCCAGGGCUGGAUGGCGAACCAGUUGAGGUAUACCAAACCUUUUUUGAUAUACUCAGAGGACGUUAUUAGCAUGUUUUAAUCACUCAUAUGCAAAUGGUAGAUUAUCAGACACUCAACAAGGUCUGAUUUCAUUAUCACUGAAACAGGAGUGUACAUAAUGGCUACAUCUCAGAAAGUUUUUAACUGUCAAGAGGAGUAAAACAAGGUUGCCCACUAUUGGCAUAUCUAUUUAUUGUGGUAAUUGAAAUGUUAGCUAUUAAUUUCAGAUCCAACAAUAAUAUCAAGGGAUUAGAAACACAGCGCUUAAAAACCAAGGUCUCAUUGUACACUGAUGAUUCAUGUUUUCUUUUAAAUCCACAACUUGGAUCCCUCCACAGCCUCAUGGCGGAUCAAGA
rnacentral:lncRNA from 13 species